GCGGCGGUCACCUGGCGCGGGCUGCGCUCACUGGGAUGCGGGCUUGUCGCUGAGCAGGGCGGUGCUUCCGUCGCUUCCGGUUCUGUCCAGUUUCUGAAGGCCCAUCCCAGAUGAAGCCUCAUCUCUCCUCUCCUGCCCCCUUUGCAGCAGCUCAACAGAAGAGUCGCCUCUCCUGAAGCUCUUGUUAAAGGCUUAUACAACCGUUUGAGCAGCUGGAGACAUCAGAACUCUCUGUGAUCCCUGAAUCUUCUCACCUUCUAUAAGGAAUGGCAAGCUAACACCCCCAUUUAUCCUUCCCUUUAUCCACUUUCCCUGCCUCAUCAGAGCUCAGCGGAGGACAGAAAGCAUUUGUAGUCUCCUCCUGC